UGGUUGAAGCACCGACCAAGUACCUGGAU
rnacentral:piRNA from 1 species